rnacentral:rRNA from 1 species
AGGGCGUUUGGUGGAUGCCUUGGCAGUAAGAGGCGAUGAAGGACGUGAUACUCUGCGAUAAGCUUUGGGAAGUCGAGAAUAGACGCUAUACCCAAAGAUCUCCGAAUGGGGCAACCCAACUGAUACUUUGUUAUUGUUACACUUUUGUGUAAUCAAUAAUGGGGUAAAACAGUUAUUAAUUACCUGAAUACAUAGGGUUUUUAAAGCAAACCUGGGGAACUGAAACAUCUAAGUACCCAGAGGAAAGGAAAUCAAUAGAUACUCCCGUAGUAGUGGCGAGCGAACCGGGACCAGCCGAGCGAUGAAUGUGACUAGAACCAGUUGGAAAGCUGGGCAAUAUGGGUGACAGCCCCGUAUAGGAAGCAUGAUUUGACGUAUUAAGUAGGGCGGAACACGUGAAAUUCUGUCUGAACAUGGGGGGACCACCCUCUAAGGCUAAGUACUCCUUACUGACCGAUAGCGAACCAGUACCGUGAGGGAAAGGUGAAAAGCACCCCGACGAGGGGAGUGAAACAGUUUCUGAAACCGGACGCCUACAAUCAGUCGGAGGCCCCUUGAGGGCUGACGGCGUACCUUUUGUAUAAUGGGUCAUCGACUUAGUGUAUCUAGCAAGCUUAAGCCGUUAGGUGUAGGCGCAGCGAAAGCGAGUCUUAAUAGGGCGAUUGAGUUAGAUGCAUUAGACCCGAAACCGAGUGAUCUAGGCAUGGCCAGGUUGAAGGUAAGGUAACACUUACUGGAGGACCGAACCCACAUCUGUUGAAAAAGAUCGGGAUGAGUUGUGCCUAGGGGUGAAAGGCCAAUCAAACUCGGAGAUAGCUGGUUCUCCGCGAAAUCUAUUUAGGUAGAGCGUCAUCCGAAUACCCCGGGGGGUAGAGCACUGGAUGGGUAAUGGGGCCUCACCGGCUUACUGAUCCUAACCAAACUCCGAAUACCCGGGAGUAAUAGAUGGCAGACACACUGCGGGUGCUAACGCCCGUAGUGAAAAGGGAAACAACCCUGACCGACAGUUAAGGCCCCUAAUUCAUGGCUAAGUGGAAAAGCAGGUGAGACGACCAUAACAACCAGGAAGUUGGCUUAGAAGCAGCCAUCUUUUAAAGAUAGCGUAACAGCUCACUGGUCUAAUUAAGUUGUCUUGCGGCGAAAAUGUAACGGGGCUCAAGCCAUGAGCCGAAACUUCGGAUGCAUUUAUGCAUGGUAGCGGAGCGUAGUGUGACAUAGUUCCAUGCGUCUUUAACUUCCUUCGGGGAGUAUUGGACGCAAGGAGCUUUCUGUGAAGCCGGCCUGUGAGGGAUCCGGUGGAGAGAUCACUAGUGAGAAUGAUGACAUGAGUAACGACAAAGGGGGUGAGAGACCCCCUCGCCGAAAAUCCAAGGGUUCCUGCUUAAAGCUAAUCUGAGCAGGGUGAGCCGGCCCCUAAGCCGAGGGCGAAAGCCGUAGGCGAUGGGAACCAGGUUAAUAUUCCUGGGCCAGGAGGAAGUGACGGAUCAUGAAGAUUGUUGGAUCAGGCGUAGUUGCCCCAGCAGUUAAUUGGUUCCUGGAAAUAGCCCUCCAUCAGACCGUACCCUAAACCGACACAGGUGGAUAGGUAGAGUAUACCAAGGCGCUUGAGAGAACUAUGUUGAAGGAACUCGGCAAAAUACCUCCGUAAGUUCGCGAGAAGGAGGCCCGGUUUCUAGGCAACUGGAAGCUGGGGGCACAAACCAGGGGGUGGCGACUGUUUACUAAAAACACAGGGCUCUGCGAAGUCGUAAGACGACGUAUAGGGUCUGACGCCUGCCCGGUGCUGGAAGGUUAAGAGGAGGUGUGCAAGCACUGAAUUGAAGCCCCAGUAAACGGCGGCCGUAACUAUAACGGUCCUAAGGUAGCGAAAUUCCUUGUCGGGUAAGUUCCGACCUGCACGAAUGGCGUAACGACUUCCCCGCUGUCUCCAACAUAGACUCAGUGAAAUUGAAUUGCCUGUCAAGAUGCAGGCUUCCCGCGGUUAGACGGAAAGACCCCGUGCACCUUUACUACAACUUUACACUGAUAACAGGCACAAUAUGUGCAGAAUAGGUGGUAGGCUUUGAAGCAGGGACGCCAGUCCUUGUGGAGCCUCCUUUGAGAUACCACCCUUAUUUUUCUUGUUAUCUAACUGCGGUCCGUUAUCCGGAUCCAGGACCCUGUAUGGUGGGUAGUUUGACUGGGGCGGUCGCCUCCCAAAUAGUAACGGAGGCGUGCGAAGGUAGGCUCAGAACGGUCAGAAAUCGUUCGUAGAGUGCAAUGGCAUAAGCCUGCCUGACUGUGAGACUGACAAGUCGAGCAGAGACGAAAGUCGGUCAUAGUGAUCCGGUGGUCCCGCGUGGAAGGGCCAUCGCUCAACGGAUAAAAGGUACGCCGGGGAUAACAGGCUGAUACUGCCCAAGAGUCCAUAUCGACGGCAGUGUUUGGCACCUCGAUGUCGGCUCAUCUCAUCCUGGGGCUGGAGCAGGUCCCAAGGGUACGGCUGUUCGCCGUUUAAAGAGGUACGUGAGCUGGGUUUAGAACGUCGUGAGACAGUUCGGUCCCUAUCUGCCGUGGGUGUAGGAUACUUGAGAGGAGUUGCCCCUAGUACGAGAGGACCGGGGUGAACGAUCCACUGGUGGACCAGUUGUCGACUACGGCAGUGCUGGGUAGCUAUGAUCGGACAGGAUAACCGCUGAAGGCAUCUAAGCGGGAAGCCCCCCCAGAAACAAGGUCUCCCUUGA